rnacentral:lncRNA from 1 species
GAAGAAGCAUACUACAUCAGGAAAUCCCCUUCCUUCUCUGCAUGUCUGCUCCCUGUGUGCCUUUGAUGAAAAUCAGACUUUAGCACAGACCGAGCCAAUACAGCUAUCGAGGAGGAGGAAACAAGACUGUCG